AAUAGAUACCCGGGUAGUCCACGCCCUAAACGAUGUCUACUAGUUGUCGGGUUUUAAUUAACUUGGUAACACAGCUAACGCGUGAAGUAGACCGCCUGGGGAGUACGGUCGCAAGAUUAAAACUCAAAGGAAUUGACGGGGACCCGCACAAGCGGUGGAUGAUGUGGAUUAAUUCGAUGCAACGCGAAAAACCUUACCUACCCUUGACAUGUCAGGAAUCCUGGAGAGAUCUGGGAGUGCCCGAAAGGGAGCCUGAACACAGGUGCUGCAUGGCUGUCGUCAGCUCGUGUCGUGAGAUGUUGGGUUAAGUCCCGCAACGAGCGCAACCCUUGUCAUUAGUUGCUACGAAAGGGCACUCUAAUGAGACUGCCGGUGACAAACCGGAGGAAGGUGGGGAUGACGUCAAGUCCUCAUGGCCCUUAUGGGUAGGGCUUCACACGUCAUACAAUGGUACAUACAGAGGGCCGCCAACCCGCGAGGGGGAGCUAAUCCCAGAAAGUGUAUCGUAGUCCGGAUCGUAGUCUGCAACUCGACUACGUGAAGUUG
rnacentral:rRNA from 1 species